CAGCAGCCGCGGUAAUGCAGAGGAUGCAAGCGUUAUCCGGAAUGAUUGGGCGUAAAGCGUCUGUAGGUGGCUCUUCAAGUCCGCCGUCAAAUCCCAGGGCUCAACCCUGGACAGGCGGUGGAGACUACCAAGCUGGAGUACGGUAGGGGCAGAGGGAAUUUCCGGUGGAGCGGUGAAAUGCGUUGAGAUCGGAAAGAACACCAACGGAGAAAGCACUCCGCUGGGCCGACACUGACACUGAGAGACGAAAUCUAGGGGAGCAAAUGGGAUUAGAUACCCGCGUAGUCCCUGUCUCUUAUAC
rnacentral:rRNA from 1 species